GCAGUAUCCCGGCUUGUCGCUGACAUGUAAUAAUGUGAGAGGAAAGUCCGGGCGGCAUAGGGCGCUCCACUUCCGAAAAUAGAAGCUAUUGGUGACAGUAGGUGUCGACAGAAGAAAAUAACCGCCAAAAAGAAACUUAUUGACUCGUUUGAUAGUGUCUUUGGUAAGGGUGAGAAGGUGGUGUAAGAGACCACCAAGCGAUGGGUGAUCAUCGUGUUGUGUCAUCUGGAGGACGCAAGUUCAUGUAAACCGCAGUUUGAGGGAGGCCCGCCCGAUAAUUCUUUGAAUUUCUGCGGAGGGUAGAAUGCUUGAGCUCGGAGGCGACUUCGAGACUAGAUAAAUGACAAGCGCACUUUAUUGUGUAACAGAACCCGGCUUACGGGGAUGCUGCUUUU
rnacentral:RNase_P_RNA from 1 species